UAUCCUCCAUUAAUUUUCCUCACACCGCUGUAUUCCCGCUCUGCAAAACAUUCCCACGAACAGUCGUCCCUUCUCCGAAAUCAAAAAUGCUAAACCCUAACGUUAACAAAAAUAGAAGGCUUGGUUUUUGCUCGAAGACUUGCUCGAAGACUAGCUCGAAGACUAGCUCGAAGACUUUGUAGUGAUUGCUCGAAGACUCUCUAUUUUCUUUUGUAUUUUACUUUCAUUCUCAUUUUAUUUCAUUUGCUCGAAGACUCUCGAAACCCCUUCUCAUUUUCCCCCAUUCUGAUCAUUUGCUUGAAGACUCUCGAAACCCCUUCUCAUUUUCCCCCAUUAUGAUCAUUUGCUCGAAGACUAGGGUUUGGUGGUUGGCGGACGUUGGCGUGAGGAGGCGACGGUGUUGAGGAAAGGCUCUAUUCAGCGAGGUGGACGAAUAAGCCGUCUCGUCUCUGCAAAUCGAACCAGGUUCCAAAACAUCCAGGUGUUGGUUCUGACUGAAUUCAAAUUUAUGUUUU
rnacentral:lncRNA from 1 species